UCGAGCGUCAUUACAACCCUCAAGCUCUGCUUGGUAUUAGGCCUCACCAUCUUAGUGGGCUUUAAAAAUAUUGGCGGUGCUUAUCGGCUUCAAGCUUAGUAAAUUUUCUGGCUUUGGAGAAUCGGUUAUGUGCCUGCCAGCAAGCACAAUUUUUUUAAAAGGUUGACCUCGGAUCAGGUAGGGAUACCCGCUGAACUUAA
rnacentral:misc_RNA from 1 species